GUUGAACCUGGCAUAUAACUCCAGGGGCUUGUCAGCUCAUAGGACUGAAUAGUGGAGGUUGAACCUGGCAUAUAACUCCAGGGGCUUGUCAGCAUAGGACUGAAUAGUGGAGGUUGAACCUGGCAUAUAACUCCAGGGGCUUGUCAGCUCACAUAUCAGUGUUGUUUCCAGCACUUUACACCUGUUCUAACCAUUACUCUGCCAGGUUUGACCCACUGAGAUAAAACUUUGUAACAGAUUGACAAUUUGGCACCAAGAGUUACACGAUGAUACCAGAGAAAGUUGACUUUCAACAACAAGCGCUAAUGGCUAACGCCCUGUAUGGUUGGAAGCAGAGGGCUACCAGCUAGCCAUUUGAUUUUGUCUGCCUAGCAACAGACAGAGGGGCGCUCGCUCGAUCACACCAGUCUAGCACCAGAGGGUCUGCCACAGCACUCGCUAGCUAACGUCUCCUCCCAGACAGAGAGCACUAGAACACAUCAGGACACAGACUGGGAUUAGCUAUGAAGUGCUAUGUAGGGGCUAUUAAGGUCUUACGACAGCCUACGGCAGGCUCUUAGCACAGCCUAACUGUCUUCGCAUAACUACAAAAGUCUUCCAUUAUAGUCUAUGCUCUAAAUGUCUCUUUGUCCUAGUGCUGUAGCACUACCAGUGGAAUGUCAAUUAGUGGCUGUAGACAACGUGUCCCGUGUGGCUCACCUGGUGGAGCAUUAGGCUUGCAACGCCAGGGUUGUGGGUUCGAUUCCUACAGGGGACCAGUAAGAACAAGUAUGCACUCACAACUCUAAGUCGCUCUGGAAAAGAGUGUCUGCUAAAUGACUAAAAUAUAAAUGUCAAAACAGAUGAACGUAUAGAGUUGCUAGCGUUUCACAAUUGAACGCAAUGCAACGCUAGCAACAGACAGAACCAGUCGCUAACAGUGACGAGAUGUCACAAACAUAGCCAACGGGUCAGUUAGCAAACAUAGGUUAAAACUAGUAAAUGCUAGUACAGCAGGUUUAACCCUCGCCCUGCCAGAUGUUAGUGCACAGAAUAAAACACAGUGUAGGUCAGACGAGUGCUGAGUAUAGCGCCCUCUACCUGAAGAGAUGUCCUGAUUCUCCUACAUACAGAUAGAAAACACACACAACAAGUAGAGAAAGUCACCACUAACACAUAAACAACACAGUUGAUGAUACCAGUUAAGACUACACAGUUCCACAGCUGUACAAAGUGAAUGAUAUGUCCACAUGUAGAAUUAUCUGAUUAUAAUCCAGAUGAGUCAUUUCUGACAUCGGCUUGGUAUACCACCUGUCCCGGUCAGGAUGCUAGUUACCAGCAAAGAUGGCACGGCAGAAGUUGAAGAGAGAGAACGAGAGAUAUACCUCAUGGCAAACCAGCAAGAACACUGCAUCAAAUUCAGUCUAGAAUUCUAGACAGAGCCUACAUUUACAUAAAGAGGUUAGAGGUUCUACACACUAACACCCCACCAGUAGUCUAGACUGUUUCUCCUGGUUAUCACCACCCCACCAGUAGUCUGGUCCUGUCUGGACUGUUUCUCCUGGUUAUCACCACCCCACCAGUAGUCCUGGACUGUUUCUCCUGGUUAUCACCACCCCACCAGUAGUCUGGACUGUUUCUCCUGGUUUUCACCACCCCACCAGUAGUCUGGUCCUGUCUGGACUGUUUCUCCUGGUCGUCACCACCCCACCAGUAGUCUGGUCCUGUCUGGACUGUUUCUCCUGGUUAUCACCACGCUACCAGUAGUCUGGUCCUGUCUGGACUGUUUCUCCUGGUUAUCACCACCCCACCAGUAGUCUGGUCCUGUCUGGACUGUUUCCCCUGGUUAUCACCACCCCACCUGUAGUCUGGUCCUGUCUGGACUGUUUCUCCUGGUCAUCACCACCCCACCAGUAGUCUGGUCCUGUCUGGACUGUUUCUCCUGGUUAUCACCACCCCACCAGUAGUCUGUUCCUG
ensembl:lncRNA